ACAAGGCUCACUUCAUCAUCUACUGGUGAAGCAGAAAGCACAGCAUGCAGGGCAGUUCCCGUUCUACUUUACAUAGGCUGAGGACAAUGACUAGAUUCUAGCAACAGAAUGUAAGCAGAAAUAUCAUCAAACCAAUUCAAGACAUGGACCACAAAAACCAGAACAAGGAACACCAUCUACCAAAGUUACACACGUAGCCAUUGCCAUGAGCCAGCAACGUCAUUGCCUGGUAUAUACCCAAGAGAAGGAAUAGCAUAUGACUUCAGAACGGCAAACAAAAGCACAUGCAGGUCUGGAGAUGUAGCUCAGUUGAUGGAAUCCUUGUGUGAAGCCUUGGGUUCCAUCAGCACAGCAUAAAUUACAUAGGGUAGUAUAGGCCGAUAAUUCCAGCACUGGGGCAACAGGCAGGAUGGUUGGAAGUGUAAGUUCAUUCCUAGUUACUCAGAGAGUUUGAGGGCAGCUUGUGCUGCCUGAGACUGUGUUAAAAAAAAAAAAA
rnacentral:lncRNA from 1 species